rnacentral:rRNA from 1 species
UACGUAGGUGGCUAGCGUUGUUCGGAAUUACUGGGCGUAAAGCGCGCGUAGGCGGACCUUCAAGUCGGGGGUGAAAGCCCGAGGCUCAACCUCGGAACUGCAUUCGAUACUGCGGGUCUCGAGUCCGGGAGAGGUGAGUGGAAUUCCUAGUGUAGAGGUGAAAUUCGUAGAUAUUAGGAAGAACACCAGUGGCGAAGGCGGCUCACUGGCCCGGUACUGACGCUGAGGCGCGAAAGCUAGGGGAGCAAACGGG